UACCUUAGCUUGAAACUGGAGUGUUUCAGGAAGGAGAAGAUAUCUGCACAAGAAAAAGCAGAGAGUUUCAAGAGACAGAUCUCUGAGCUGCGUCUCCGCAGUCAGCAGCUGGAGGAUGAGAACGGGGUGCUGUCGGAGAAGAACGCCCAGAAUGCAGCAGGAGUGGAGGGGUUGAGCCAACAGCUGGGGGAACUGCUCAGACAGAGUGAGAGACAGGAGGCUGUCAGAGACCAGCAGCACAAUGAACCAGAGGACAACAGCACCAAGAUGGCAGUGUUUGCGUCUGCCCUGGAGGCGGAGCUAACCAAUGCUGUGGAAGGGACUGUACUACUAGCGGAGGGCAAGCCCAGCUGGUUCUACAACUCACCACCUCGCGAUUAAGUUGAGGACAUUGAGCAGACAAACAUCUGGUUUUGACU
rnacentral:lncRNA from 1 species